GGGGAUGAUCGGUUUCGACGAUGUGAGUUGCCGCAGGAGAAGCGGGCCGAGAAUGUAGAGUCAUCUCGUAAACGUCCUCUGCAAACUAAUAAGUGCCGAAUCUAAGCGCACUGACUUCGCUCUCGCUGCCUGAUACAGCGAACGAGUCCGUCAGCCCGGGAUUGCUAUCGUCCCGGAACCUGGCGUCGAUUAGAUAGCCACUGUCUAUUGCCCUUGCCGGGGGAAGCAAUAGAGACCUAAAUCCGGAUAGGCCUGGACUGGCUGCUUGUCUGCAUGACAGCCAAGGCCGAAAAACUCCGACGCAGACUGCGCCCGGAGAAGCCCUGCUAAAGCCACAUCGGACGGGGGUUCGAUUCCCCCCAUCUCCACAG
rnacentral:tmRNA from 1 species